rnacentral:rRNA from 1 species
UACGUAGGGAGCAAGCGUUGUCCGGAAUCAUUGGGCGUAAAGCGCGCGUAGGCGGCCUCGUAAGUCCGUUGUGAAAGUCAAAGGCUCAACCUUUGAAAGCCGAUGGAUACUGUGAGGCUAGAGUCCGGAAGAGGCGAGUGGAAUUCCUGGUGUAGCGGUGGAAUGCGCAGAUAUCAGGAGGAACACCAAUAGCGAAGGCAGCUCGCUGGGACGGUACUGACGCUAAGGCGCGAAAGCGUGGGGGCGAACGAGG